UACGGGGGGGGCAAGCGUUGUUCGGAAUUACUGGGCGUAAAGGGCUCGUAGGUGGCCAACUAAGUCAGACGUGAAAUCCCCAGGCUUAACCUGGGAACUGCGUCUGAUACUGGAUGGCUUGAAUUCGGGAGAGGGAUGCAGAAUUCCAGGUGUAGCGGUGAAAUGCGUAGAUAUCUGGAGGAAUACCGGUGGCGAGGGCGGCAUCCUGGACCGAGAUUGACACUGAUGAGCGAAAGCUAGGGGAGCAAACGGG
rnacentral:rRNA from 1 species